AUGCAGUCGAGCGGAUAGCACAUAGAGCUUGCUCUUGGGUGACGAGCGGCGGACGGGUGAGUAAUGUCUGGGAAACUGCCUGAUGGAGGGGGAUAACUACUGGAAACGGUAGCUAAUACCGCAAAACGUCCCAUGACCAAAGUGGGGGACCUUCGGGCCUCAUGCCAUCAGAUGUGCCCAGAUGGGAUUAUCUGGUAGGUGGGGUAACGGCUCACCUAGGCGACGAUCCCUAACUGGUCUGAGAGGAUGACCAGCCACACUGGAACUGAGACACGGUCCACACUCCUACGGGAGGCAGCAGUGGGGAAUAUUGCACAAUGGGCGCAAGCCUGAUGCCGCCAUGCCGCGUGUGUGAAGAAGGCCUUCGGGUUGUAAAACACUUUCAGCGGGGAGGAAGGCGAUAAGGUUAAUAACCUUGUCGAUUGACGUUACCCGCAGAAGAUACCCCGGCUAGCUCCGUGCCAACAGCCCCGGUAAUACCGAUGGUGCAAGCGUUACUCGGAUUUACUGGACUUAUAGCGCACACAGGCAGUCUGUCUGGUCAGAUGUGACAUCCCCGGGCUCAACCUGGGCACUGCAUUCUAGACUGGCAGGCUAGAGUCUUGUAGAGCGGGGUAGAAUUCCAGGUGUACCUGUGAAAUGCGUAAAGAUCUGGA
rnacentral:rRNA from 1 species